AACGAACGCUGGCGGCAGGCUUAACGCAUGCAAGUCGAGCGCCCCGCAAGGGGAGCGGCAGACGGGUGAGUAACGCGUGGGAAUCUACCCAUCUCUACGGAAUAACGCAUGGAAACGUGUGCUAAUACCGUAUACGUCCUUCGGGAGAAAGAUUUAUCGGAGAUGGAUGAGCCCGCGUUGGAUUAGCUAGUUGGUGGGGUAAAGGCCUACCAAGGCGACGAUCCAUAGCUGGUCUGAGAGGAUGAUCAGCCACACUGGGACUGAGACACGGCCCAGACUCCUACGGGAGGCAGCAGUGGGGAAUAUUGGACAAUGGGCGCAAGCCUGAUCCAGCCAUGCCGCGUGAGUGAUGAAGGCCCUAGGGUUGUAAAGCUCUUUCACCGGUGAAGAUAAUGACGGUAACCGGAGAAGAAGCCCCGGCUAACUACGUGCCAGCAGCCGCCGUAAGAC
rnacentral:rRNA from 1 species